UGGGGAAUCUUGCACAAUGGGCGAAAGCCUGAUGCAGCAACGCCGCGUGCGGGAAGACAGCCCUAGGGUUGUAAACCGCUUUCAGCAGGGAAGAAACUGACGGUACCUGCAGAAGAAGAUGCGGCCAACUACGUGCCAGCAGCCGCGGUGACACGUAGGCAUCAAGCGUUAUCCGGAUUUAUUGGGCGUAAAGAGCUCGUAGGCGGUUCGGUAAGUCGGGUGUGAAAAUCUCUGGGCUCAACCCAGAGAGGCCACUCGAUACUGCUGUGACUAGAGUGCGGUAGGGGAGCGGGGAAUUCCUGGUGUAGCGGUGAAAUGCGCAGAUAUCAGGAGGAACACCAGUGGCGAA
rnacentral:rRNA from 1 species